rnacentral:rRNA from 1 species
CAGUCGCCACGGGAAUACAGAGGGUGCGAGCGUUAAUCGGAUUUACUGGGCGUAAAGCGUGCGUAGGCGGCUUCUUAAGUCGGAUGUGAAAUCCCUGAGCUUAACUUAGGAAUUGCAUUCGAUACUGGGAAGCUAGAGUAUGGGAGAGGAUGGUAGAAUUCCAGGUGUAGCGGUGAAAUGCGUAGAGAUCUGGAGGAAUACCGAUGGCGAAGGCAGCCAUCUGGCCUAAUACUGACGCUGAGGUACAAAAGCAUGGGGAGCAAACAGGAUUAGAUACCCGUGUAGUCCCUGUCUCUUAUAC